GACGAAGCCGAGCCGUGCUGAGCUGGCCCUUGGGUCCUGGCUCGUGGGAAACACGGUCUGUCCUUCCUCGGCUUUCUCGGAUGUAGGCGCUGGGAGACCGCUGUACUUACGGGUUCCAGAUUUAAGGCAGAUGGACUGAACGAGGCUGCCAGGACACUUCACCUCGCCCCAGGCUUAAUUCAAGCCUUCCUCCUCCCUUUCGCUUUCUCAUGAGAGGCAGAGGUACACAUACACGCGAUGGGACCAGAUGUCUACCACGGAUACACGUAGAUGAUGUGCAAUCCUCUUCUGCCAUUGAAAUAGCUAUGGUUGGGGCCAGUGAUAUCAGAAUUUAGGUGAUUUUGCAAGGCUACAACAGUAGAAAUUGAUGCACUGAACGGAUGUAGCCACUUACUCAGUGAACGGGAAACUGAGCCAAAAUUUUGGAGGCUUUACUAGAGUGUAAAUGUUAGACUUGGAUACCUAUGCUCCUGCAGACAUACAUGCCCUGUAGAUUUCCGCACAGGGUAGAGUUAUCUGAAAUUAACUUUAAAUACAAUUGGUCAGCUAUUGGAAGGAAUCUGGCCUCAGUAAGAGGCAGCUCUGUCCAUAGAAGUCAUUGGCAAGGUGCUCUGCCUCCUCAAAACCAUGUAGCUUCUACUGUUUGAAGUUGGUUGCUUAAAGCAAGCUCAAUAGGACCUUGCCACUGGUGUUUUUCAAACUGUGACCCACAGCAAAUACCUGGAACAUGUUAAAACCCUGAGUGUUAACAUGACAAAAGGUCACGGUUGUCCAUAAAAAAAGGAUAAAGAGUGGCCCAACCCACUGGGAAUCUCUGCACCAUUCAGCAACCUGUUGACAUGCUUAAAUUCCGCAUGACUCUAACUCUUAAGAACAUGUGUUUAUAUGAAAAACACAUUAAAAUGAAAACAAGUUUAAUAAACAGUCAAAUUUUUAAUUGAGAAGCUCAGAAAGAAAUACAUACUUGCAAGAAGCAAGAAUCUUCACAGAUUUUUUGUUAUAUUUUUAAAACCAGCACCUCUAUUCUGGGCAUUCAUGUUCUCUAAUGGAGAUCAGGCACAUGUUCAAAGUGGUUUUACAGGUACAUUUCCUUACAUUCAAUAGACACAAUGGAUUUUAAACAGUUUCAUAGCAACGGAUGGUUCGUGAUGGCCAUUAACCUAGAUAAGCGAGUGUCAGUUUGGCGCAUCCUUAAUGGUCCAUAAUGGUCUGUGGGCAAAAAAUUCUUUCUCUUCAUCUGUUCCUAAGAGGGGUUUUUUGUUUUGUUGUUUGGUUUGUGGUUUUUUUUUUUUCCCUAGACUUUGUUUUACAGAGCAGGUUCAUGUGAAUUUUUGCAUUCAGGAAAAAAAAUUCAUACCCAAGAGCUUUAUGGUAAGAGCGUUUACCACAAAAAAAGAUUUAAGUUUCUCUGGAAUGUGGUAGCCGUAGUAUAUCCUAGCAGAUAAUCAAAACUUUUAAAAGUUGAAUAUAUACCUUUACAGCAGCUAAACAGACAUUCCUAAAUAGUAGGGACUUUUAAAUAACUGUUGGUAUACCUCUUAGAAUUCAGAAAGGCAGUUUCACGUUCUGUUUUUAAUAUUAAAAUCCUUUAUGCUGCUGGGACAUGUUGUAUCUCUUCUGCGAGACAAAAUACUGCUAAUGCCGUGGCAGAGGAGGAAAUCACUGUGAUACCUGACGGAUGGAGCUGGCACAAAUCCCUGGGAAGAGCAGAACCCAAGUGCUCCGGGAAGCGCAGAGCUGGGAUGUAAGGAUUAGUGCUGGGGUCCUCCGUCCCCCAGACCCCCGGGUGUCGCGGCACCGGAGCGACUGCGUCGGCAAGACGGUACACCUUGGAGGAGAUUACACCACCUCUCCGAGUAGCAUAAGUUCGGCUUAAGUACCUCACACCCUCACUCACAUAGACCCUCGUGUCAGCAGGGUGGGUACCCCAGGGCUUGUGAUUUACCUCCCCUAAACGUGCGCCUUCAAUGAUGUAGCGAUGCAAGAAGUCAUUUGCAGCGCAUGCGUGGGCUUAAUUCCAUCCCCGAGAGGUACUCUACUAGGGUUUACUAUAUAGUAACGUAAAACCGUGUUUUAAAAAUACCGCUUUAAUAUACUGUGAGGUGCUACAUGAUACCUUGGACUGAUUAUAUGUGAUGCAUAUUUCGAUGAACCUUAAUGAGACUUGCAAAAGUAAGAGGCAAAUUUGAGAGAAAAUUGGAUUAAAUGGCUUAAUUCUCCAUAGUUAAAGACUUUAAAUUUUAAUCAAGUCUUGAGUCUGGGACUAAUAACUCUCAGACUGGAUGUUUAAAAUGACUAAAAUUUAAAACCAAAUAAGUAUAAUUUAAUGUGCAUUAUCACCAAUGUAUUUGUGUAGUGGUAAUUCCUAGAGGUACGAACAUUAAAAUGACAAAUUUCAAAAGCCAGCAUAGGCCUUUCCCAAAACUCGUGGUUGGAUUUUGCUAUGGUUUUGCCCAGCUGUACUGAGGGCGGUAUCCUGCACUGCUGCAAACCCAGUUGCCCCAGUGCAAACUUCUGUAAGACACGCUUAGCGAUCUGUAUUGGUGCGGUUCUUGUUCCCAGUGGUGGGGCAAUGCGAUACCAAUCCUGGUCUUGCUUCAUGUGUAGAACAGUUUCUCUGUUAUCUGCCUGAAAUGCAAUCUUUACAGAAAAAAAAAUGUGAAAGAGGUGGUUUGGAUUCCAGUCGGUUAUUCCCUGUGCCUGUGGCCGCAAUGCCUCCCUCUCAGGAGUAUUCCGGAGUUUAUAAAUUUUAUAAAGUUUGUGGAUUUCAAAGUUUCCUUCAACUUGGGGUUGCUUUUCCACCUGGCUCCCACGGUUCUGGGGGACUUUGUGUUAGACUGAACAGAUCAUUUAUGAGCGGUGGAACUGGUGAGUCCCAGACCCUUUCAGGGACUUUUUUAAGCUCCUUCUCACACAGGGUUUGUCUCACAGACUUUUCACAUCGGGUAUCUUCUCACACAUAAGUUUGUCCGCUUGUCUGGGAAUGCAUGUGUGUGUGCGUGGCCAUGCAUGGCUGGGGUUAAUUAAUUUUUUCUCUCUUCUACUUACCGGUCACCAUCCAUACCUCUUCAUACCACACAGCAGGUUUUGAUAGCGGCCAUCAUGUACGUGAAAAUGAGCUGGGCUGUUAAGAAGCCUGCCAGUACUAGACAUUUUGUUGGUUGUCGUGAGGUAAUGAGGGAUUGUCUUGGCCUAGCAAAAGAUAUUUGUAUUUGUUAAUUGGAAAGAAGACGUAAAACUUUCUACAAGUUAAUCUGUUGGAUUUAUAUAUCUAUAGAGGAUCAUGAGAAUGCUUCGGUGAUAAACAGUAAGAAACUUUUAAUAAGACAUUUUUGAAGUUAGGCAGUUUUGACUACAAUUUUAAUAACCUUAGUGAAGCCAUCAUCAUAAUUCUAAAAUAAUUUAAUAAGUUUGUUGUGACCUUAAGACAUUACUAAUAUAGAAUUAUGUAAAAAUAAAUGAAUUUAUGUUUGACUAAUGAAAUAAGAUAUUCUGGAAGUGCUAUGGAAUAUACAAGUAUAUAAGCUAAACAGUUCGAGUUUCGAUAUGCUUAAGAAAUAAUUCUUCAGAACUUUUCCCAAGAUGACACCUUUACUUUCUGUGGAUCAACUUGUCCUGUCAGGGUAAAGACGCUGUGUCUGUAACGGGGAUAAGAAACCUCUAGCAGUGCCUUGCUUUCAGUCUACUUUUGGAGUUACUUUUAGUAUUGCUAGUCACAUAUGAGACUAGCAAAGGUAGUAAGUAUCCAUUAACUUUCAUCCAGUCUCAGCUGAAUCUGGUGGUCAAGUGUCUUUAAUAUCACUAAGACUUCCACUGUUCUGCUAGAUUUGGUUGAAAUUGUCCAAGAGGUUGAAAAAUUAUUGGGGAAAGCAGGGUAAUAGUUGAGUGAAUGGAUAAUGAGCCUGCAUAAACCUCAUUUCCUUAGGACAUUAUACAAACCAGUGAACAGUCUGCUCGAUGGGGGCAUCUUCAAUAUUUAGCAGUAUAGAUGUUUUGUUUCAGUUGUUAAUCUUACUGCCAGUUUGUGGAGAAAAAAUACAGUUUGCUUAACAGAAAAAAUACUAAUCAGUCUUCAUCGUGCUUGGCUUUUUCUUUGGAAAACAUGUAAGAGUUAAACUGAAUAUAUUCUAGCUUGAGUUAGCUGUAGUUAGCAUUUCUGAUCAGAACAUCCAGUUCUUUCUUCUCUCUUUCCUUUGGAAAUUAUGUUUUUAUUUCAACAGUACUUUCUACCAGCAGGCAAAGCUGCUGUUACACUCUACCCAGCUGUGAAAUCAAUAUGAUUUUCAUUACAAAGAUAACAGAAACUCUCUUAGAAAGACUGUGAAUUGCCAAAGGUCAAAUAACAGUCAGUGGCAGAGCUUAGAAUUUAGAUGUCCUAAUUAAAAAAUCUCGUGGUAUAAAUAUAUUAAUGAAAUGCACCCUGAGAAAUGUUUGCAUUUAAGAUGGCAACAAUUUUAAACUAUUACAUUGUUUCUUUAAUUACUGUAGUUCAUGUAAGUCACAUCAAAAUGUGAUGAAUUCUUUCUCUGGUUUAUGACUGUUUCUUAUAAAAUAGGUAUUAUCUCUUCUUUCUUUUUUUUAAUUCACAAUUAUUUAAGCGUGAUUAGAUUAGAAAGUGUAACAGUCACAGAAGAGAGAACAUAUCUAGUAAGAUUUCUGUCAUAUUGGACUCUAAAAAUUACACAUAAACCGAAUGAAUGGGUGCAUCAGUUAUUUCUGUGAUGUAUGACUUCAUUAACAACAAGAGGAAGUGCACAGUCAAACUGAAAGCAGCACUUGAGUCUUUCAGCCAGAGCAGCCAGUUCUAUUUAAAUUAAAAUCAGCAUUGUAAAAUAAAUGUUAUUACUCUUCCUAAGAUCAUCCUUGAUCUCUUCUUAUUAAACCUUAAUUUUUCCAGCAGUUAAGUUACAUCUGCCUUAUUAUGGAUGAAAAUAACAGGAAAUCAAUUAUUUUGUUACUUGUAUUUGUUUGAGAUCCCUCUCUCCUCUCUCUCUGUUUUUAUUUAAAUUCUGUCUUUUCCACCCCGCAUGCUAAAACAGUAAACUCAGAUUGCCAAAUACCGUGGGUUUUAAUAGAAAAAGUUCUUCACCUUACAGCUGAAGGGUUUUUACGUUAUUGUGCUCCCUCUGCUGGAUAGUGCCUAUUAAUUUUUUAUUCCCUGAGCUGUACUAAUACCCGUGUUCUAUAAACAAGCAAUCACACUGCCUUCCUGAAAGAGGUACAAAAAGUGGGAAUGCCUCAUUUUGGUCUCAGAUGAUGUGGAAGGUGACAGUUGUAGGCUAGGGAAAAUCCUGUUGUCUGGCAGCUCAGAGCAAUUGAAAGCCUUUGGUGGACAUUUGAGGAACAAUUAUUUACUACCUCUUGAACAAAACCAGAUGGACAUUAAAUAACCUUCUUUCAUUUGUAUAACUUAGAGAGGAUGAUGUUGAUUCUCAUCCUCUAGUAAGUACAACAGUAUCCUCAGAUGUCCCUGUAAUGUUAUUAACACCUCAGUCUUAGCGGUGUGGUUCUCAUAACUUGCUUCAUCCUUUGUUGAACCUUACAGGGUCGCUGCGUUUGCUCAGCGGAGAAAGCAAAACGUGCUCUCGUGCUCAGCGCGAGCCCCGCGGCAAGGCAGGCGAUGGCUCGGUCCUUUCCCGUCUCCACCGCGGCGAGGCGAAAAGGAGGAAGAGCAAUCCUCCAGUUUUGUUUCUACAAGUGACCUUGGUCUUCACGGCCUUUGACUUCAUGGGGUGUUUUUUUGGGCUUGCUCUUCUGCUCGACCUUUCUCCCACUGCUGUCACAUGGUAAACCUGGCUUCCUCCUGCUUUCCUUCCUUCCUUCCUUCCUUCCUUCCUUCCUUCCUUCCUUCCUUCCUUCCCGGGGGGAUGUGGCUGGGGUGGGCACUGAGCAGCCCCCUGAGUCCCACCGCCUCCCCUCUCUGCUUUCUGCUUUGGCCGACCCAGUCGGUCCUAUGGAAAGGCGAUGGAAACUCAACAUCCACUUCAGCUGCAGGUGAUUUGCCCAUCUGAGCUGCUUCUUCCCAGAUCUUGUGCCAUGGUUUUGCCAGGGAAGCUGGAUACCUUUGCAGUUUCCUUCAAAUUUAAUGUGAUGUUAUAAAUGCCGCUGCGUAUUAAUAACAUUGAACUGGGAGUUAUUUUUCAACUUGGCUUGGCUGCACUUACAGAUUAGCUCUCCCAUAUUUCAAUAUAGAUCAGACUGGUAGCAUAUUCCUGAAAAGAAAUGAAAAAUUACCAAUUGUUGGGAGCAAUAACUUACUUUUUAAAAACGGUAACUGUUUGACUCCUGGUUUAACUCGGAGACUCAUUUUGGGGAAAGUCAUUAUGGACAAAUUCUGGUUAAGAAUUUUUUUCUGAGGUUAGUUUUAAAUUUCAAUUUUUGGAUAUAUAAAAUAAUAUGCAAAGUCUUUGAUUCUCCCAGACAGUCCUACAGUGAAGUAAUCAGCAUAAUUAUCUCUGUGACUCUCUCUAAUAAACAAAAACUACUUCCAUGUGCAUGUACACUUUCUUUUACAAACAAGUUGCUUUUUUGAACCAUUUCUAAAAGAACAAACUGGGCAAAAGAAUAAAUUUCCAGUUCCUAACGCCUUCAAUUCUUCCUGCUCAGAAGAAAAGGCAGAUGUUUAAUACCUUUUGCUUUUGCUAAAAUAAUAAAAGCUUGCAGUGUCGAACAAAUAUUCUUCCUUAAUUUAGCGAGGCCUUAACAAAAUCAGCAUCGCUCUUUGCAGGAUGGCUUGUCCUGGGGUGAAUCGCCUCCGUUGAACCAAGUCAGGGUGGUGAGGGUUCUGCUGAUGGUGGGACUGGGCUGGGGUGGCUGGGAAGGACUUCUGCAGAAGGGACCCUCUGUGGAGGAGCUUCUAGGAUCGGGUUGAAAAUCAUUUGCCUCCGAUGCCUAUUGAGUUAUAGCAACUGAAACACUUGACAGUGCUUGUCUCAGCAAAAGCACACACCAUAUGCUUUGGGAACAUUCCCAAGCAGAAUAUUAUCCUCCUAGCACCCCGGUGAGCUCAUUAAUACUCCCGUUAUCCCAUUCAGUGGGACUAAUCCAGCAGCCCCUCAAGUCAGUGAGGAGAUUCAAGUUGUCUUUAGGAUGCUUUGAAUAAAACCUUCGAUGAAGUUCACAUAAUUUAAGUCACACCGGUGGAAUUAUUUUCUAAAGUUAUAAAUGUUAGCUUAUUUGCCAGUUUCUUUAUUCCAAGCUACCUGUUUUCCUCCAUCUUAUGAAGAGCAGUGAUGUGAAAUGGAAAAAGGAAUAUGUUUUUAUAGCAGGAUUUGAAUUUGUGUACAUUACUGUUGUUUUCCUAAGUUUUUCCGGAGAAGGACUGGAAUAAGCUUGCAUCAGCAUUCCAUAUAAUACUAAUUCAAAUGCAAAUUUAUAUGUUGAUCAAAUGCAAAUUUAUAUGUUCUCCAAAUAUGUGAUCUGUUCAUGGGAAGAACUGUGGAAAUUUUACAGUUGAUGUGGAUAAAGAAAGCGCCAGUUUAAGCUAUUGUAGUUCUCAGUCAAUUCCGGUCAUUCUUUAUUGCUUUCUGGUCACACAACAAAUUUAAUAGAAAAAUAAUCUUUUGCAAAAUAACUUAUUAUAUGUAAAAGGAGAAGAAUUGGGCUUUGCCAAAAAGAAACCCCCCUCAGAUCCCAAUAUUUUUCCAGACUGUAUUUCUUUAUAUGCUGGAAAUUUUUCUUUUCACUCCCAUUCAUUUUAACAGCAGAUUUUAAUUUUUCUUUUGGAAAGAAAAAAAGAAAAAGAAUAGGAUAUGUGGGGAGUGAGGAAGAAUGAAGCUACAAACUAAACAGACAAAAGAUACUAUUUCAAAUAAGUAUAUUUAUGGUAGUGGGAGGGAAACUUAGAUCAAACAAGAAGAAAAGACUGGAGAGGAUCUACUCCAGAUUCCACUGAUGUGGUAACAGCUGUUAUUACAGUAUCCAGCUUUUUGAAUUAAAUAUUGAUAGAAAUAAAUGAAUAAAAGACUGAGUAAACUGAAAUGUGUGUUCUUCCUUCCUAAAGCUUUUUUUCAGCAUCUGGAGUACAAGAAUCAACACCCUUUUAUACAAUUAAUAGUAUUAAAUAACGGCAUCAGCUGACAGGAAAUAAGAAAGUUCCUAUGGCAACUAAAAAUAAGCACAGGAGGAAAAAUGCAUCAAAUGCUGUCAGCAGACAGCAUAAAAGGCGGUUGUAUGUAGAUAAUAGAACAAGAGCAUACACAGAAAUCCUACUUGUAAACAUAUGCGUUUCGAUAGCUGUUACUGGUAGUAUGUUUGUUUUGUUGGGUUUUUUUCCCCCAAAAUGGGAGCAUGAUACCUUGGUUACAGCAUCUACUUAUCAGAUAUCUCAAAUUGUUUUGCUGAGAUAGGCUCCUGGUUUACGGCCUGUGAAACACUGGGACAGGGCACUUCAGGAGAGCAGACGUAUCCCCUCGGAUUUGUACACUGUUUAGAAAGCCUUUGGGUGCUUCAAAUCUUGUGCACGUCUGCUGCUUUCUCUCAAGCAAGUGUAAUUUGGAAGAGGAAGAGAAAUACAUGACUGAUGCAUUGAAAUCAAUCAUGAUAGCAAAUUUAAUAUCCAAAAGUUCUUCAGAUGUUCUGGAAAAAAAUCUAAGUGACGACAAAAUGUAGUGCGAUGACAUGGAAAAUUUCAGCCCCAACAGUUAAAUUCUGGAAGAGUUUUGAACGACUGAAAUGAAGGGUUUCUAAUGGGAAGAGUUUGGCAGCAUUAACUACAAAGAGCCUUAGCCAUUCAGUCUGCAAGUGCUUUUCUCAAAUCGUGAGUUGCAAAUCACCUCUACCCCUAAUUCUCCCCAGAGUCGCAGUCCCUGUCAGAUUCCAAUUACAACCUGCUGCUAGGAAACCUGGCCAUAAAAGUUGGAAAAUACAGCAUGGAAGACAUUAUUAUAUACUGAGGUAUCAUCAGAAUGGUUGGUGUGUAUAUUUGGGAGGGGGUGAGGGAGUGCAGCAGCAAGGAGGUCUUUUUCAUUUCAUUUGCUAGGCAUGACCCAGUGAACUUCUUAUGACUGGGAAGAUUAUGCCAGCACAUUGCAGAAAACAGAUUUUCACUAUAAGCACAUUCACUCCCCGACUGGAUGUGUCAGGGGGAAAUAAAAAAAGCCAGAUAGUUACAAUUGAUAAUACAGAAUUGAUUGGACAUGACAAAACUAUAAGAGUUUACCAAUGUGGUGGUAAAAUUAUUAAGAUUUAAGAUUUGAGAGGUCCGGCUAAGAAGUUUAUCCUAACUAAAAGAACAGUCCUUUCGACUAGGAGCUAGCAGCGUGUGUUUGUUCCCCCCUCCCCACCGCUGAUCGAAGGCAAUACGGGGUGUUUGUCAUCGUACAGGCUCCACCAAGGGCCACCCCUCCAUGUCCUCACCUUCUUUACUGUGUGAGUCCCUCCUAGAGCUGUGGCAGCUAGCAAGCUGCUGAAGGAGUCCGUCCCCACUGGGGAUGGAUACCCGGCUUUUUUACCAUCAAAAUGAUUGGUUUUCCUCACCUCUUUCUUUUUUUUUUUCUAUUUUUUUCUUUUUUCCUGCGAUCACUUGGCAGAGCACAGGGGAGCAGAGAGGGCGAUGCUGUCCAAAUGUUCUCUCCCUGUGAUCAUGGUUAAUAAAGCUCCCGUCUGACCUGUCCUAAAUUGUACCUGUGUUAUUACACACUUGGAUUCCUCAGAUCUCCAACACCAACCUGGAACCCCCAAAUUAGAUGGUAACAAGGUUCUUAUGAUAGGAUAACAAGAAAGUCACUUGCAUAUUAAAAGAAAAAUAUCUUUUUUUUUCCCCUCCCCUUUUUCUCCUCAGUUUUAAGCCUUUUAGAGGUCUUUGCACUGUAUUUCAGUAAUCUUUAUCUUCAAGAAUUCAAGCAGCUUUUUUAGCCCAAAGGAACAACUUUUUAAGAUACCUAUUUUUCUUAGCAAGACCACAUCCACUCCGAACAGAAACAUAUUACUUGAAAUUUAUAAUGUAAUAUUGUGUCUCUGAGUCAUCAUAAUGAAUCCACAUUAGUUUAUUAUCACUUAUGUUCAGCCCCAACACAUUAUCUAAAUGACAUUGGGUAGUUUGUAUGUCUGAACACUGGAGUCUUACAAAUGGUAGCUGCUACUCUGAUUUAGAACUUGGAUGGGCAAAAUGGUCUUUAUAAUGAGUAUUUGUUUAUUAAAAGUGAUAAAAUCUUAGGCAAGGCAUUAAAGCAAGAUUGGGACAAUAGAAACACAUGCUGAAAGAUUGUGGGAAACAAAUAUAUUUCGCUUUGUGUUGGAGCACCCGCGACCGUGCUGAACGACAUCUGCCUGGAUGCGAGUUUCCUUGCUAACACCACAUCCACGCCGGCCAACGGAGACCAAAGGUCCUGGAGAUCUGCCCCAGCUUUUGGAAGACCGAGGAGUGUCCACCCGUUCUGCUUGUCCCGCUGCCUUCCCAAAACCCGAGGGCCUGGAGGAGGCCCAGCUCCACCAUCUGCGGCUUCUACAGGAGACGCGCGUUCCCUCGGAGUGAAUGGUUGUCUUCUUUUUACAGUGGUCUACCCCGCGGCUUCUGUUGUCAUGUCCUGCGUUGCUUAAGGUAAUAAUUGCUGCUGCUGCUGGACUAGUGCUGUUGUGACUAUACAUGUACCUGUAACUACAUAACGUCAUCUACUCAGACAACGUGGAACUGGGUAUACUUCAGAUUUGUAGAUAUUAUCACAUACGAUUAAAAGAUUUUUAAUCUCAAGGUACAACCCAUAAACAUCAGAGUUUAUUUUCAUGCUUACCAAUGUAAAAAAAACAUCCUUUUUUCUUUAAAUUGGAAGUCUCAAUUUAAAAUGAAGACACUUGUCUUUCUUUAAAAAUAGUAUUUACAUUCAUGGCAAUGACAGCAUGUUCUAAGGCUUAAAUUUACCCUGAUUAGUCUCAGAUGUUCAUGAGUUCAAAAGGGCUUUUUUCCAAUGGGAAAAAUACCUUCUGUGUCACUAUGGCCAACCUGAGUUAAAUAAUUUUGUCCAAUAUUAUGUAUCACAUUGUAUAAAUCUCCACAAUGGAUCAAGAGGGGUUUUAAAUUUUUAUUUAUUUUUUUAUUUAUUUUGGAGCUUUUUCAGUUUCUGUGGUAUGGAAGAAGCUUUUCUGAAUUAAUUCCAGUGGAAUUUUUAGUUGUGAGAUGCAAACAUAAUGAUUGUCUUCGUUUGUGUUACUUCAGCUAAAGCUGAGAGACUGAGUUAAAAAAGCAGAAAAAAGCUUCUGUCUUCCGGUUUACAAACAAAACCCCAAAAAGACAACAAAAACAUCAGCUGAAUCUGAAAAUUAAAGAAUAUCUGGACGUAUUUACAAAGAUAUUCUUGCAUGUAUGGCUGCUUUCCAGAAGUGCCUCGGCAUCUUACUGGCGCCGUUUUCGACAGAGACGAAGCAGCUGGCCUCCUGCAGUAUUUCUGAAAUCCCAGAAGGUAAUGAUCUGCUUUAUUAGGCACCAAAUACCUUUGGAAAUCAGGCCCACGAUGACCAGAAGCAAUCUGUCAGUUCGCUAACUACAAUUAAUAUUUCUUUUGUAUAAUAAACCACUUUUAAAUACAAAGUGUAGUUUAAAAACUUAAUUUUUUCCCUCUGUGUAAACAGCAGGUAAAAGGUCAUUUAUUUCACCUGCAGAAACAAUUUUAACCAGCUCUUUUUGUACAUUCUUAAAAUUUUAGUUCUCACUUUCAUCUGAAUACUGCUCAUAAAAAAUUCAAGACAAAAAUUGGCACCAGAAAAUGCGCCCGUCACUAUGAUCUGACGUAAAUAUAUAUGUAUAACUAAUCAUCUCAAUAAAGGUAUGUGGGACAGAUGAAAAAAACGUGACCAGAUAUUCUAAAAAUACCAAGUUUAGCAUAACUAUAGCAGAAGUUGCCAAUCAAUGAAAAUUAAACUUUACUCAGGGAGUAACCAAGAGGUCCACUGCGAUGGUGCCCGUAGGUCGAGCUGGUGGGAUGAAGUCCUGCUGGUCGUUUGCAGUGAUGCUGGGUGCUUCCCUGACCUGCAGGCAGGGUGGAAGACGGUCCCCUCGCCUACAGAGGGGUGACGGCUCUUCAGGGAAGGGCAACGGGCAGCCCAGGGCGUGAUCUUCGGGGAGGGAGCGAUGCCGACAGCGGCAGCGUUGGAAAACCUCGUCAGGACGAAGGUGGGACCCGAGAGGGAUGAUUUCGCGGCACGGGUCACGUAUCACUGUUGCAGGGAAAACUUCCUCCAAGAGAAAAAGAAGAGACGUGCAAACGCUUACAGGGAUGGAAAGCAGCACAAACCUGCUGGUGGUUAAUGCAGGGCGGUCGCCCGCCAAAUCCCUGUCUCUCGUCACCUCCUCCCUCCUGCCAGCGUCCUGGUGCUGCUCCCAGCGCCAUCCCAGUGCCUCCUCCCAGUCCUCGCCCGAGGCUUGCUGAAACCACUGGAAAUAUUCCUGCCAACUUCAAGAGCCUUUUCCUUCCCCACGUACGUAUCCAAGGGCUGUAGCCUCUGAAUCUGUAAUUUCAUCUAUUAUCCUGCAUCUUUUUUUUAAAGGGAUGGGGUGGAAGAGACCCCAUAUCCUGCAUGAAAGCCCAAAGCGCUGUAAAGAAUUAUUCUCUUCGCCAGAUCAUGCCCUGAUUUCACUCAGUCUUAAAAUCAGCCUUUCUCACACUUCUCUUGCGGCUUCGCUACAUUCUGGAAAAAAAGAUGACUUGCUUCCCUGAUAUAGCAGAGGCUGUUUAUCCCAAAAAUGUUUUACACAAAAUGUUUCCAUUCAUGUAACACAAUUUGUACACACAGAGGCUGUAGUAUACACAGGCGUGUUGAAUAUCGGGCCAAUUUUCAAUUUUUAGCUUCAAAAGGGACUUUCUUGCCAGUAAAUCACAUGGGAUUUUUUUCAAUACUUUAUUCUUAGUGACAUCUUUGGGGGGGGGCACGGAAAGGUAAAAAUCAAGAAACAUUUGCUAUUUAUACAAAUACUCCAUGCUUAUUGCUCAUAAGGAGCAAUUUAAAAUGACAAAUCACUAUUCUAUAAAUCAGAUAUAGACAGACAACUUACUGGACUCCUUCCAAGAUACACUGAGACAUGCACCAAAAUAUCAGAGUGUAAUUACUUUCAUUAUGUAUUCCAAUUAAUCUGAAAACAACUGAGACUGUAAAGUUCGCAUCCUGCUAAUUUUUACUGACAUAAACUCCAAAAUUAUUUAUAGAAUUGGUUGUCCUCUGUUUACUUGAUUAAAAUAUGGACUAAUCAGGCAUUGCUUUUCUAGAAAUAGUUUUUCAGUAUGGUAAUUUGCCAUCUGAAAUUUUCUUUAUUUAGCCAAAACACAAAUGCAUAUUUUAAUUCAUGGCAAUAUUUUAAACUUACUUCUGUUUUAGAACCAAUGACUUAACUAAAAAAAUUCCUAAACUGAAAGACCAUUUUUUAAUGUGUAUCUGAAAAGUAGAGUCUCUUGUGUGAACCCAUGUUCUACUUCUGAUAUUCCCGAGGCGUUUUGUUGUUUGACCACAGCCCUUUUCCAAUAAGCAUAAGCAAUUAUUUUAAGUUGAAAAUUAUUUUGAUAAUGAACUCAUCUUCACCUUUGACAUCAUUGCUUCAGUGGGGGAAAGGAUAUACGGCAGUUGUGGGCAUAUAACCAUUUCCGACUCUGUAUUGUCAAUAAUUUAGACGUUCUUCUUUGUCUUUCGAAAGCAAUGGUUUAUCUGUAUUAUUUGUUUCAAAAAGUGCUUCCUUCUUGCUUUAAAAUGGAGAUUCAUUUUUGCAUAUCUGGAAUUCUCCAUAACGGGAAAAGAAAUUGAAUGAAUCUUAAAAUGUUGUAAGACAUUAAAAACAUUAGCUAAUUGAA